AGGCGUUGUGGGGUUCAGGGGCGGCUUGGGGCGCUGCGGACCUGAACUUCCUAGAAUGUCUCAGAUUCUUAGAGAGUGAAGACAGUGAUUGAGAAAUUGUCGCAGUGAGCCCAGGGAAGGAAAGAUCGAGUCGUUCCACCUUUAGUUUGUAUUCCUGUCCACAUGCGUUUUGCCGAAUUAAAAAGAGGCUACUUUAAUUAAAAAGGUAGGUAGUUAGGAACUGUGAAGGAGCGACGGGGACGGUGGCCCCGAUUAUAUGUCAUUUAGUGUACUACCGCGCCUAAACCUCAAGCCGGCUUUGUGAUUUUUGAGGUGGCUAAAUUUUACAAAAGUAAAAGUAUCCAGGCCAGAAGCCCUGUGUCCUUUCCAUCCCUAGCCCUGUAUGUGAUUGCUGAGCACUGGAAAUGUGACCAGUCUGAACCGAGAGAUGCUGUGAGUGACCACUGCACACUGACAAGUUCACAACCCUUCUCCAAAGAGUGUAAAAUAGCCAAUUAUCUGCUGAAAUGAUUUUUGAUGUGUUGAGUUAAAUAAAAUAUAUUUUUAUGUCA